CGUGCAGGCGGUUUCUUAAGUCGGACGUGAAAGCUCCUGGCUCAACUGGGAGAGGUCGUUCGAAACUAGGGAACUUGAGGAUGGUAGAGGAGAGUGGAAUUCCCGGUGUAGUGGUGAAAUGCGUAGAUAUCGGGAGGAACACCAGUGGCGAAGGCGGCUCUCUGGGCUAUUCCUGACGCUAAGACGCGAAAGCUAGGGGAGAGAACG
rnacentral:rRNA from 1 species